rnacentral:lncRNA from 1 species
GCCAUAUAUCAUCUAAGACAAUUAAGAACCUUUUUGAUUUCAGUCUCUUUGCAAUGGAUUUCUGAAGCUGAUCUAAAUUGUCUGUUUCACCUUCAUUUUCACCCGCAGGUAUGCAGCUACGUAUCUCUUUGGUGAGCUUAAGCACAUCAAAGUUAGUCGACACACAUACCCAGACCCUAACAGCGAAGUGUUCUUCAGUCCUUUGGUCAUUGUAAAGGUGCUGGGUGAAAGUUGUCUUACCAAUACCACCGGGACCAACUAUAGGAAGGACGGACAGGGUCUCAUCAGAACAAGUGCCACUUGUCAUACGAUCUACGGUUUGCUUAAAAAUUGUGCUCCUUCCAUAAAACUCCUCUUGUCUAAUUGUCGACCCGAUGGCAGGUCGUUCCAUGCUUUUUGGAGGAAUUUUACUGCUAUUGUUUAUCUCGAGCAAUUUAGAGAUAGGAGGACAUAGUGAGUGAAUGUCCUCUAUCAGCUGCUUGAUUUUGUUUGACAUGGCCACUCGGUCGAAUAUCAACUUGUCAGCAUACCCACUGUCGAUAUGGUUAAAUGAAUCGACGGCCUUGCUUGUGUUCCCAGUACCAGCAGCAGCAGCAGCAGCAGCAUCAUCUUGUGAACGGCAACAAACAGAGAAGCAUGAGAGCCAGUUACCAGCAGUGUUGCGCGCAGCAUGGCGGGCGUGCAGAGCUUGAGCACCGAGGCCAUCCCCAAGAUCCGGAGUGGCCUCCCGGGUGCCGUCGAGCUCGUCCUGGAUCAUGAAGUAGUGGAGCUCGUCCAGAGCGUCCUCUGCCUCAUCGGCCUUCUUGCUCAGGUCCUCCAGCAAGCCCUGCAGGCCGGGGUUGUGGCUGAAGUCCCUCCCUUGGGCACCAUGCAGCAGCCCGAGGGUGUACUUGAGCUCGGUCUUGAUCUUGUCGAAGUUGAGGCCGAGCUCAUGGCUGGCCACAUACCCAGCCACCAGGUCAUCGGAGAGCUUGUUGAGCACCUUGCUGAGGAGCCAAUUCGCUGCGCCAAGAGCAGUCUCCAUCUUCUCCACGCUGGGAGAAAUGGGAAUGAAACCGAGGAGGGUUGUGGAAGGCUGCAAGUGUGGUGUGCCGUGCAGUGCAGCUGGGAGGAUGUGUGGCUGGGAGGAUGUGUGGCGUCUAUUUCUAUAGACAGAGGAUAAGAGCUGGCAGUGCAGUGCUCUGCUUUGCUGCCUAGGUAGGUCCUACACAACAGGGGAGGCGAUUAUUCUUUGUGUUCUGCUUUUCAGUGGCAUCAGGGACCCAAGCUACAAUUCCAUCCCCACCGUGAGCAAGGAUUCCGACGUGUUUCGCAUUGUGGAAUAACUGCAAUGGAGCUUAAGGUCCCUGUAAAGAAAGGCAUCCUGUUAAAGUGACAUGGAGUGGUGGUGGGGCGACAUGGAAAGAAACGAGAUAAUGGGCGUCACUGUCUUGUGAAAACACACACUAGGAGCAGUGAUUUUACACUCUCUAUUUCUUUUUUGCUGGAUUCUGAACUGUGAAGUUUUUGUUGGGUCCCCAUGGUCAACAGUCUAGAAUAGCAUAACUGCAGAAAUAUCCAGUGAGGUCUUGUAUAAUCAUCAGAAAAGUCUUGCCUUUGCUAAAGACGAACUAAACAGUCCCAAUGCAAACUUCACAGGAUUUUUCACUUCACAGUUCACAGUGCUAUAGUAACACGUUAAGAGACCAUGAAUCGAACAGCCCAAAUAUGGACGACAAUCAGCAGACACCGUCGUUCUUUUUUUUGUGUGCUUAGUACGAAAUACAAUUGUUAUUUUAUCUUCCACGAAUCAAGUUGCUAAUUGUAACCUAAACAUACGCUAAUGUGGGCUACAGACUACUGCACGAUGAUGAUGAUGAGGUAGUGAUCCCAGUAUACGCUAAACUAUAGUUAGCCAGUGAUCCUAGUGUAGUAAAACGAUCCAAAACAUUCCUUGUGGUCACAAAACGCUUCCUUGUCGUUUUGGACAGCUACGUAGCUUUCAGAUUGAAAAAUAGAAGCUGAGGCCUAAUAUGUCAAUUUUCUUAAUUAUUAUCUUAGCAACAUUUUUUAGUUAAAACGAACAGCCACAUUAACGAUUGCAGGACCAAAUCAAGUAUCCACCAAAAGGCGUACAGGCUCUGGAGCAAAAAGGAGAAUCGAAAAGGAAAUAAACAAGACACGAACAGUGUGUGAUCAUGAGCUACAUACAUUCUUGAUCGGCUAGGAAAAAUUAUGCAUAUAGAAAAGACAAAAUAAAUAGUGUGAAACAAUUAUCGAUUAACUUAGACUAUAACUGCCGUGCAUUUCAAUAUGUCCGAUUGUUCUUCGUCCCUGAUACUAUAGCAUGUAUUACCAUAAAACACAUUUAACUCUUCAAUUCAGGCUGCGUGCUAUUUGCUGGAAAAAAAAGGAAUCAUCAAUUCCACACUGCCAAGAACUCAUAUUAAAAAGCAUGACAUCCUAUAUAUCUGCCAUGCAAAAAUAAAGAACAAUUAGUAAACGCACUUCUUUUCCUUUCCUUCUACUAUAUUACAAAUGAAAAAACAAAAGCCUAACAAAUAGCUUAAAUAAAAAAAACCUACGGCCACUAUGUGCUAAACAAAAUUCAGCUUACUUGUUACAAAAUGCCAAACGUUUAUAGUUAUCAGGUCAAAAAUAUAAAAAGCGCGGUCAAUAUUCAGUUUCCCAGCAACAAAUAUAUGUGUAAUUCUUAUACUUCGUUGUUCGAUAAAUAUGCAGCCAACAUCAAAAUUGGCGUGCAUUUUAUCUUCGAAAAGAGUGCAAAGGUCCAUAACACAAUUCACAAAAACCCGAACAAUAAAGUUGCAGUGUGCUACAAAAUGGAAAAAUCAUUGCCGUUCAUCCAAGCAGCAUCAUAGUUUAUGGGGGGGAUUUGUUGAGCUUGGGAUCCUAGUCGAUCUCCACGUCAGUCUCCCGCCAAUCCAGUACACCAGCUUCACCCGAACUGCAUCGAUUAUGCCUCUGCUGUAUUUGUUGCAGGUGCCGCGGGUGGGAAGAGCGCGAGCUCGUCGCCGACGGGCGGGGCCGGCGCCGGGAGCCAGCCCAGCGCGGUCAUCGUCUACCUCGCGUCGGCGCUGCUCGCCUUCGUCUCUGUCCUCGCGUGAUGGACGCGGCGCAUUCAUACCCGGCAGGGGAGAUACAAUACGCCGAUCGGAGUAGAAGAAGACAGAGGGAUAAAGAGAUGAACAAUUGAACAGCAAAAGACACGCGCACUCUUUCUUUUUUUUAUUUAUUUCUACUAGUUUUGUGUGAGAUGUCGAGUUGUGCUGACUGUGCACCAGUGACUCAGCUCGUACUCCCGGGCUGUUGGGGCUGUUGCCUUCCAGCCUGGAAUUUUAGGGCAUAUUUGGAUACCACAUCCUAAACUUUAGGAUAAUCAUAAAAUUUAGGAGCUCAUAAUUGCUAGUCCUAAAAUUUAGGAGUGGGGUGUUUGGAUGGACUCAUAAUUUUUAGAAAGGCAGAGGAAAAAUGACCGUUGUACCCCUAAUUAAAGGAGCAACUGCCGGUCGCCAUGCACUCUGGUUUUGGCGCGAGCGAGCGUUCUUCUGGCGCGGCGCGAGCAGAGCGCUUCCUAGCGUGCUGCCUCUAGCGCAGAGCUGGUGAUUGCUGGUUUUUUUUCGCCACUUUUUUUGUUUUGCCGGCCCUUUGCUGCCGCCUUUGUUAAAAAAAUCGUAGUGGAAUGUCCAAAAACAGUAAGCACAGUCCAUCGUCAUUGUCAUUACAACUCAAAAAUACAAAACCUCUACAAUCUAUUGAAUAAACCAUUAGCUAUACUAUCAUGAAAUUCGUUCAUAUUUUGAUCUCCGUCUGCCUCUUCGGUAUUUCCCUCAUGUCCUUCAAUGCUUGAUUCUUCGGUCAAAGGAACAAAAUUUUCAUCACGAUCACACAUAUCAAAGGUCCUAUCCGCAUUAUCGUUCUCCCUAAUGAAAUUGUGAAGUGCCAUACAUGCUACUAUUAUUUUGCUUUGCUUUUCAAUUGGAAAACUUGGUAUUCCCAAUAAAAUCCUCCAUUUCAUCUUCAAAACUCCGAACGACCUCUCAAUAACAUUUCUAAGUGAUGAAUGCGCGUAAUUAAAAGUCUCCUUCAUACCUCUCGGAUUUGGGCCACUCCGGAACUCAGGAAGGUGGUACUUCGUACCUUUGUAUGGUGCAAGAUACCCCGGGCAGUUAGGAUAUCCGGAGUCUACUAGAUAAAACUUCCCUACAAAUACAAAAGAGAAUAUGGUUAGCAAUUUUGACGUAUAAUUUAUUUUCAAAAUAUUAUUGAGCAAAAUUGUACCUGGAGGAGGGUGUGGAUACUUGUCAGCAUAUUUAUUUAAGGCAUCACUGAAUACUCUCAUAUCAUGAACUGNNNNNNNNNNNNNNNNNNNNNNNNNNNNNNNNNNNNNNNNNNNNNNNNNNNNNNNNNNNNNNNNNNNNNNNNNNNNNNNNNNNNNNNNNNNNNNNNNNNNGCGGGAGGAGGAGGCGGCGCAGAUGGACUGUGCGGGAGAAGAGCGGGGGAGGAUAGGGUGCAACCGUGCAUCCGUGGAGAGAGAAGGGGAGGGGUAGGAGGGGUAAAGGAUGGGUUGGGGGCCACUUUUAUGAGAAAAAUGAAAGUUUAUGAUGGUUUGAUCUUCCUAAUGAAAACAGCACCCCAAAAACAGCACCCCUAAACAUUAUGAAUACACUUUUAUGGCACCAGUUGGAUGCACAAGUCCUAAAAGUGAAGUCCUAAAGUUUAUGAUGUGGUAUCCAAACAGGCCCUAAUCCAUCACUAUGUCUUAGAUGGUGUGUAGAAACUAGGUCUUAGGGGGUGUUUGGAAAGGGGUGCUAAACUUUAGCACCUCACUUUUAGCACUUGAACUACCAAACAGUGGUGCUAAAAGGUGAGUGCUAAAGUUUAGCACCCUUAUUUUCUUUAGCACACCUAAGGGGUGCUAAAAGGUGCUAAUGAGUGCUAAAAGUGGUCCCCAAGCCCACUUUUUCCCUAGUUGCCCCCUCUCUCUCCUCUCCACUUUUCCCCAAGACAGUCAUAAAUGAGGGCAAUGUAGUCAUUUCUCACCCAAGGUGCUAAACUUUAGCACUGUAUCUAAACAACCCCAAGUGCUAAACUUUAGCACUCCAUUUGAGGGUGCUAAAGUUUAGCAUUGUGUAUCCAAACGGGGCCUUAUUCUUCUCUUUUUUUUUCAUUUACUCCCUUGCCACGUUACCUUUUAUUCCUAUGUGGCACCUCAUUUAAUUCUAUGGACACCAUCCUAGUCAUUAGGUUAGGACUGCUCUAGAAGUCUACACCAAACCCAUCCAAGGACAUUGUGUUUUUGUGACCACCAAUCAAGUUGAUCGAUGUGAAAAUCAUCCUCUCAAGUCUUGGUUCAUGGCAUGCCACAAGGAUGAACAGUAGGCACUUGGCAGUAAACAAUAUUUAAUUAUAUAGUGUAUGAAAAAAGAAUAAUUUAAAAAUAGAGACAAUAUAUUAGUGCAAUAUAAAAAUGUAUUUCCUAUUGGGAUCUAACACACUAAUUGGUGCUCAUGACAUUAUUGGGUCAUUUUGGCCCGUGACAUGUUUAGGACGACCUCUCUCUAGUGGAUCUAACGACAUUAAUUUGGUGUCUUGGCCCAAUAAUGCUUAGACCGACAGAUUUAUCCUACUGUUGUUUUAGAACAACUGAUUAGGGGCACUGCUUCCGCACUGCCUUUGCCAUUUUCCCUACUGUUUUUAGAACAACUGAUUAGGGGCACUGCUUCCGCACUGCCUUUGCCAUUUUCUCUGUUUCCUGUCUACUCUGUAUGUGUGAAGCUGCACGCUGCUCAUGUCCACUUGUGAAUUUUGUAUCCCAUAAAAAAACAGGCAGCAGCUUUACACCCAGUUGCUCCUUUAAAAAACCUCGUGCCACUUGCCUGCUUUUCUCCAAGCCCGGCUUGGUGCUUUUCCUCGUGCUUGGUGCUUUACAUCGAAGACCGGCAGGGCUUGGUGCUUUUCAUUGAAGAAACAGAAUAUAGCAGCAACUUACGCCCAGUUGCUCCUUUAAAAAANNNNNNNNNNNNNNNNNNNNNNNNNNNNNNNNNNNNNNNNNNNNNNNNNNNNNNNNNNNNNNNNNNNNNNNNNNNNNNNNNNNNNNNNNNNNNNNNNNNNNNNNNNNNNNNNNNNNNNNNNNNNNNNNNNNNNNNNNNNNNNNNNNNNNNNNNNNNNNNNNNNNNNNNNNNNNNNNNNNNNNNNNNNNNNNNNNNNNNNNNNNNNNNNNNNNNNNNNNNNNNNNNNNNNNNNNNNNNNNNNNNNNNNNNNNNNNNNNNNNNNNNNNNNNNNNNNNNNNNNNNNNNCUUUUCCUCAAAGACCGGCAGCGAUGCUAAGUCUACAUCUACCCAUAAAGACAUUGUGUUUUGUUACCUCCAAUCAAGUUGAUCGAUGUGAAAUAUGCUCCUCUCAAGUCUUGGUUCAUGGCAUGCGACAAGACUCAACAGUAACAUUACUUAAAUGUGGUGGGCAGAGACUGUUGAGCUGUCUGUCUGAAUCUGAUCGACUCCGCCCCCGUCUCCGUCAUCCGUGCUCUGAGACGAGCGCAGAUAUUUCUCCUUUGAAUCCAUACCAAAUUUCAAUUGUCAAAUGUAAGUUUCAGCGAAAUUCAUCAAUACGCUCCAAAUUCGGUUCCUCUCGCUUUAUCCCUUUCCUCCUGGAAUAAAACAAUAAAACAUCCCAAAAUCAUUUGAGGAACAGCUAAUCGAGACACGCCAAUCGAGACACGGAAAUGGUGGAGAGCCCGAGCUGAAGCCCCCCGCCGAGCGAGGAAUCCACUUCUAGAAGCUUCUGGAUCUCCCAGAAGGGGGAGGGGAGGGGAGGGGAGCAAGCCUAAGCCCUGGGACCCUGGGAGAAGGGUUUCUCUCGGCGGAUGGCGUCCGCCAAGUCGUCGAGGUCGCGUGUUCCCGGUGAACGCGGCGGCCGGCUCGGGAGGCGGCGAUGGCGGCGUGCAGCUGGCGGACAAGCUCAAGAUAUUCAAGACCGACAACUUCGACCCUGACGCCUACGUGCAGUCCAAGUGCCGCAGCAUGGACGAGAAGGUGAGGAAUUUCAUCCUGCCCGAAAUUCGCCUCGAGUGGUGGUUGUGGAAGGGUGGCGUCUUGCUCGCUCGCAAGCGCGAGGGUUACGUGUUUCGGUGGUUCUCUACGCGUUUCGGAAUUCGGAGAGAAGUGCGAAUUGGGCGUGAUUACGGUUGAAUUAUAGAGAAUUUUUUUGCUAGUGUGAGGAUGAUACGCUCUGGUUAAAUCUAUGCGAAUUUUAACAAAAUUACUACUGCACCGCGGAGACUAAAUGCGUCAGAAUAAGUUUGCAUGACAGAAUUUUGGUAUGGCACCUUUUGCUGGAGCAUGGAGGAAGCAGAGCACUCGAGCAGAGUGCGUACUACUGCGUACAGACGCUACUUUUGCUGUGCAUUCUGAGAGUUACAUAGUCCUAGUCAGAGUGCUGCUGUCGCCCUUGGUUAUUUUUUACUAGAAUCCUAGAUUGUGCAUUCUAAGAGUUGCAUAGUCCUAGUCAGAGCGCUGCUGUUGCCCUUGGUUAUUUUUUUUUAGAAUAUGCAGGAGAGCUGUGUUCUUUGUACUAAGAAAACUAGAGUUUUACAGCGUGGGCCGAACUGGCGCACACUCAAGCUGAAGUUACAGAACUGGACUUAAGACUCAUAAAACUUUGACAACCGGAAGAGAAGUCGAUCACUAGUAGCUGGGGUGCUGUUGCCCUUGGUUAUUAAAAUGUUACUGUGGGAACUGUGAAGGUUUCUGAAAAAAAAAACUUUCCUAAACCUGUGUUCUUAUUUGCAAGAUCUUAAGAAGGCUUCUGCUGAAGAGAUGCGCAGAAGUGUUUAUGCAAAUUAUGCUGCGUUCAUCAGGUGUGGAAACAAAAGCUUAAUUUUAACCUAAAUGAAAUUUUAUAUUGGUGGGAGUUUCCAAUAAAUUUCUUAGAACUGUUCUGAAUGACACUUUUAUAUAUGAUACUACAAGCUCUCUGCUGCCCAUUUAUUGCUUACCACCUCGGAACAUGGAUGUUCCCGCUUUUCCAUUGAUACCGUUUGUUUCCUUUAGGAAAUAUCAAAUUUGGUGCGUGCAAAAUUAUAGUUAUAUAUUUAACAUAAGCUACCAACCUACCAUGUUUUUCACAUAAUUGCUAUUUUCUCCUAUGUCCAAUUCGUGAAUUUUGAAUGCAUUUCUGAACCUAGUCUCCUGGUACAGAGCAUCAAAGGAGAUAUCAGACCUUGAAGGGGAGCUGUUAUCUGUUAGAAAUUUGCAAAGUACACAGUCAGCUUUAAUUCAUGGUCUAUCCGAAGGAGUUCAGAUAGAUUCGUUGAGUACAGGGCAUGAAGGUUCUGCUGAGGAAGACAUAUCCACUGUUGAAGAUCAGGAGCCAUCAGAAAUAUGGAAAUGGUCUACAGAUUUCCCUGACAUGCUUGAUGUUUUGCUGGCCGAAAGAAGAGUGGAUGAAGCACUGGAUGCCCUGGAUGAAGCAGAACAAAUUGCUGCUGAUGCAAAACAGAAGGGGACUCUAACUACUGCUGAUAUUCUGGCUUUAAAGAGGGCUAUAUCUGAAAAUCGUCAGAAAUUGGCUGAUCAGCUAGCUGAAGCUGCUUGCCAGUCUUCUACUUGUGGCGUUGAGCUUCGCACUGCAGCUUCUGCUCUCAAGAGACUUGGUGAUGGACCUCGUGCUCAUAGUUUGUUACUCAGUGCACACAACCAAAGGCUUCAGUUAAACAUGCAAACAAUACAACCAUCUAGCACAUCAUAUGGUGGGGCAUACACUGCUUCUCUUGCACAGCUAGUUUUUCGUGUUAUAGCUCAGGCUCUUAGCGACUCUGCCGAGGUCUUUGGUGAUGAACCAGCAUACAUGUCUGAACUGGUUACUUGGGCUACUAAGCAGGCAAUGUCAUUUUCGCUGCUUGUAAAGAGGCAUGCUUUAGCCUCUUGUGCAGCUGGUGGGGGCUUAAGAGCUGCUGCGGAAUGUGUGAAGAUAGCACUCGGUUAUUCAGAGUUGCUGGAAGCUCGUGGUCUAUCACUUUCAGCAGUUCUGAUGAAGCAAUUCAGCCCCUCUGUUGAACAAGCAUAUGUAUCUUUAGGGGGUUUAUUUUCAUAAUAGCAUAGGUGGGGGAUUUAUAUAUAGAUUUAGAGGUUACUUUACGCUAUUUUUCAUAAUGGAAAAAUCAUUGCCGGUCAUCCAAGCAGCAUCAUAGUUGAACUUGGGAUCCUAGUCGAUCUCCACGUCAGUCUCCCGCCAUUCCAGUACACCAGCUUCACCCGAACUGCAUCAACCCAUAACCAGAGAAAAUACAAAAAAAUAAAUAUUCAACAUCAAAAACUAAUUUAGAUACAACAUUUUAUUUAUGAUAUAUACAAAGGAUAAGAGGACAUAACACCUAUAGCAGAUUACCACGAGACAUUUGAAAAUACUGACCAGCAUGCUGAAAAGGAGUCUGAAGACUUUCUUUUUUAAGGUAGAGACAUGAUUACCUGUGUGCAUGCGCUGGUGGUGUCCAAAUCAAAUUGUAUGCCUAUUUUGAUAAAAAAAGAAUUAGCACAUAGAUAAUAUCAUUAUCUAAAAUUUGUAUAUUCAAGUGAACUCCACUGAUAGUUCUGAAAAUGCUAAGAAAUAAACUAUCUCGGAAUUUUGUCAUCUUGACUUCCCAAUAAAUCAAUAAAAAAUAAAACAAACACAGACCCACGUAGAGGGGGAAGGAAAGAAACAACAGAUUCCAGACCAAGAUCCGAGAUGAAUCAAUGUAACCAUGGUAAAUUACGAACAAACUAAUCAGAUCAUGUAAGCCAAGGGGAUGGUACUGAAGGGGAGGGGCCGGGGGAGAUGGCUCACCAGCUUGUGCUGCACCACGCGCUAUGACUGCACAAUCACCGCUGCGCAUAUGCCGUAUGGUAGCCGACCGCAUAUCUGGGAGCCGCUGCGUCGUUGCUGGGCAUCUGGGAGCCGCCGCCGCGCUGCCACAGCACAUACGUAACCGCAAUUAGGUCGUGCGCCCGCCCACAAUCUUCGUCCCGGCAUGCCUCCGGGAUCACGUCGUGCGGCUGUUCGAGGUCUACCGCGCCAUAGCCCAGUCCGAGCUCAACUACAACCUGGUCCCCCUCGAGGUCGGGGAGGAGUACAAGCUCAGGACGGGCCUCAAGGUCAGGGCUUUCAGGACCUGCCACGUCAUACCCAGCCAGGUGAGAGGUUAAUUGUUAGGGUUCACUUCACUCAGCUCCUUUAUUGUAAUCGUACGUGCAAUGUUUUGAUGGAGUGAGGAAAUCAUCUAUCUGAUGUUCUAUCCAGGGGUAUGUGAUAUACUCGGUGAAGAAGAAGCUGAAGCAGGAGUUCAUUGGCCUGCCGGGGAGCUGAGGUUAUCAGGUGUGGAGGUUGGUCUGUCCUGGUGGUUGUGGAGUUCAAGUUCAAGCACAGUCUAGUACUAACAACAUGUUUGAUGUGCUAUGGCUUCUAUGCCCCCUCACGAAUUCGUAAUUUGCAGAUCACGAACAUGGUAUCCAUAUUGCUUUCACGGGAGAUACGACAUCGGAUUUCCUUGACCCGGAUAAUGCAGAUGUGUUGAGGGCAAAAAUUCUUGUUGUGGAGGUAUUUUGUUAUCACUUGUCACUUUACAGCUAAAUUCUCAGUUUGUAACAUAUAACCGAUUUUUAUGGCAUUAGUAGCAAGUAGCAAUCGUUCUGUAGCUUUUGGUGAGGAAACUGAGACGCUGUUAAAAGCCCGGCAAAUAGCAAACUUAGUUAGAAACAUGUUCGGUUUCCAAUGCUGAACGUUUUAUUUUCUGUAGUCGCUCACCUUUAGCAUGUUGAUUGAUUCUCAUAAUGUCAAAAUAUUCUCUGUAAAUUUCAGAGUACUUUUCUUGAUGAUGAAUCCCAUUCAGUUGAGCAUGCAAGAAAAUAUGGGCACACCCACUUAUCUGAGGUAUUUCGUUAAACUGUAGUUGAGGUAUUCCGAACUUUUAAUGGAAGAUUGAAAACGUCAAAUACUAGUAUUUACCUGUGAAGCUUAUUUUUGCCAAACGCAGAUAGCAAGCCAGUCUGACAAGCUUGGAAACAAAGCUAUUCUACUGUUUCACUUUUCUGCUCGUUAUACUACAGAGGUGAGCUGACAUCUCACCUUCGUUGCAGUUCUAUUCACUGAAAUGCUAUGGACAGCUGUAUAUUAUUUUUCUUUUUAUAUUAUCCAAGUCCAAUUUGACUAAUACUUUUUGAAAGAUGCUUUAUUUCCGCGUGGCUAUCAUAGUUUUGUUUGAGGCAGCUUUGUCACCAUGCACGUUUCUUUUCUACCCUAAAGUUGUACUUAUAAUGAAGAAAUAUAUGUCGAUUGUCAUGCUGUUCUUGAAGUCAUCUUGGAAAUUUGGCCUAUUUGUUUCGCAAACAUGUGACUAAGCCAAUUGAUACUCUUACCCUUCUCUGAGGACUUUCUUUUAGUGAGAGCAAUGUCUGCAUCAAAGAAUAAUAAACCUCAUGAGUUACUAUUGCUCUGUUUGCAGGAAAUUGAUGCAGCAAUAAACAGGUUGCCACCAUCUUUCCGAAGCAGAGUUUGUGCAUUGAAGGAAGGGUUCGAAUGAAAAAACAUGAACCCAUACAUCAGCAAUGAAGUUUUGAAAAUGGGAUCAGCAAUGAAGUUUUCAAAUUGGAUUGUCUGGGUGUUUUCACUGGAAAUAUUUUUGCUAUUUGUGCACUAAUGAUAUUAUGGCAAUCAUUAGAAUAUUGAAGGUUCGUGAGGAAUGUUUUGUUGUGGGUACUCAAUGCUUGUUUCAUUCCCAUGACAUUGGAACAAUGGAAUAGUGCAAUGUGAAACAACCGUAUUAGCAACAGUUACUUGUGCUCGAAUUAUGAGCCUUAUAAGAAAUAGCAAUUGAAGUCUAGACUCCACCAAAUUUCUAGUUUGCACAGAUCAAGGAGUAAGAACUGGCCGCGAGUUUGGCUUGUUUGCUAGCUGGCCUCGCCUGGCCUUGCCCAGCAAGGAGAGCCUUGCCAGCGGUGGAGAGGUGAUACGGCUCGCCCGAGGAAGCAAGGGAAAAUCUUGCUUUCACGGACACCGAUGCAGCUGGCAAGCGAUCCAAACCCAGAGCUCAGUUGGCUCUCCUUGACCAGCCAGGUGAGGCAAGCCUCGUCAAGAAAUCCAAACGCGCUCCCUUAAAGAAGGAGUAAUAAUAGUUAACCACUUUGUCCUUUAUCAAGGAGUAAUAACAGUUAACCAUUGAUCUGUGUCUAGACUCCACCAUCCAGGAGUAAGAACAGGAUUAAGACUACAGAAUUGCCAAAUUGGUUAACUGCUAUGGUAAAUAGUUUAGAAUAACACCACCAUUUCACGGGUUUGAAACAUGAAAUAUAUACUACUGCUUGCUAUUUAAUAUAUGUUCUACAAAUCAUCAUUGAUAUGAAACCAGAAACAGUGAUCAAUGUUGUAACUCUCCUAUGGUUUGGUGGGAAGAUCAAGAUAGCAUCAGACAUGGCCGUUAGCAGAAAACAACAGAGACAUUAGCCUAUAUUAUCCGAAAUACUGCUGCAGACUAUGCUCAAUUGUUUCUGAAAGUGAAUUAAAGGCCACGGCGAAUGACAGAGCAAUGGAAAUGUCCAAACAGAGAUGUGAUAAGGAUAAAUUAUGAUGUUGCUUUUGAUGCACAAACACAUAAUGGUGGGUGGGGUCAAGUGAUGCUGGUCGGAGCAUGACAGAUUACAGCUGCAAUGGACUCAGAGUUACUGGCUUGGCUUGUACAAGAGGAAUCCAGGCGGUUACUGAUAAAGGAAUGAUGAAUAUUGUCCUGGAGAUAUAUGCUAUGAUGCUCAAAUCUGCCAUUGAAGGGACGAGACUACAAUAUGUUUAGUGCCGGAAAUCUCAUUUGUGAAUUGAAGUAUCUCAUAGACUUGAAAUUUUAAUUCUUGUAAGACCUUAUAGUGUCCAAGAAGCUGUAAUAGAGUAUCUCACGCUCUUGCUGCUCAUUGUAGUGACUUCAAUAUUUUGGAUGAGGAGCUCAUGACUGAUGAUGCUCCAGACUUUGUAAAUGGACUGGAGGCUAGCGAUUUGACUAGCAUAAGGUUUUAAUGGAAGUUCUUUCUGGUUGAGAAAAAGGUACCAGUUACAUAGUGAAAUGAACGCAGGCACACAGCCAUGAAUGGAGUACCGAUCAACAAACACAUAUGAGAUGCACCAGGCAAUUCCAAAUCAAGGAAACCCAGCGUUUCCAAGGAUCACAAAGCUUCUUCCUCACCCACUUUAUUUUACUAAGCUAUAUUGUGUCACAAAUAUUAUUAAGUGCUUCUAUAUACCAAGACCGAAAUACUAUCAAUGUAUUAUCUAUAAUCUAUAAUAUAAUGCUUCUCUCUGGUACAUAAAAGAUGAAUAAGUUAAAGUAACCUCUAACUUAGUAACACUGGCCAAAAACAUGUUCUUCGGCCAUAGUUGUAGGAUAUGCCAGAGUGAUGUUCAUCUCCAUUGCAUCAAUUUCUGUACAUGUUCGUUGUCCUUCAAUUUCUGUACUCAAUUUGCUUCAAUUUCUGUACUCUCGGCAAGUCAGCAUAUUGACUAGCCGUAGCUGAAACAUGUCACUGGUAGCCGUAGUUGUUGGCUAUGCUAAAGACAUGUACUUCUCCAAGCAUUUGCUUAAAUUUUCUGUACUCAUUUGUUGUAUGUUCAAGCGGUGCAAAACUCGUUUUCUGAGUGAAAUUGAUAUCCCCGUAUUGAUCCCUGUAACCGAACACAGACAGGGAUUAAGGAUCUGUUUGGCUGGGUGCUAAAAAUCAGCGUCACGGCCAUGGCGGGUUUUUUUUUCUGAAAAAGCCUCUGUGGCUGGCUGGCUGCCACGCUUGCGAGCUGAACCAAGCAGCAGCUAAACACCGGUGACUUGCCGCACUUUAGGCGCGCACUUUAGGCGGUGGCACGUUGUGGCCGUGAGCCAAUCAGACUCUAAGUCUAGAUUGGAAAUUAUCCCCACGAGCAUCAGAGAGUAACAGAUCAGGAUCCAUUGUUUAUUCCCAGUAUGGAAAAAAUCAUCUUGGGGAUUAGAACCACCGCAACCGAACAUAGCCUAGGUUUAAAAUAUGUGCUGUUUUCCUCAUUGAUCUUAAUACACCUAGAGCACCCUCUAAAUAAGUUUCAUAAUCCAACCACACAAGUUGAGCCAAAAACAUCUAGUACAAACAAUCAAAUUGUUCUAGUUAGAAAACCAUUCAAAUAUAUUUGAGUGUGGUAUUAUUUUGAAAAUCUCGUUCUGAGAAAAAAAAUGAUGCAAUUGAUUUUUAUUUGGAUGUUUUGUUUGAAAAAUAUGAUCUUUUAUUUUUGUAUGAGUUUUUUUAUUUAUAUCGGGCCGCAGUCCAUAGCUCUGAUGAUCGGCGUGGCUGGGUUGUUUUUACGUGGGCCAUCGUGCUGUCCAAAGGGCCUCGUUUUUGCUUGUUGAGCCAAGGCCGCAACCCACAAGAGAGGCCCAAUCGCCCACCUCUCCCCCCAACGACGGCCCAAGUCCCAACCCAGCAGCAGUAGCAUCUCGUCCGCACGACCGCACGCCCACGCCUUGACUGCCGGCGCCGCAAACCCUCUUCGUCGGCGGCGGGAUGGCGAAGGUCAGCGAGUCCGCGGCGGAGGCUGCGUCCACCGCCGCCGCCCCUCCUCUUACUUCCGCUUCCGCGCCGCCAUCGAGGCCGAAGGCGAAGCACCGGCUGGAGAUCGAGGGGUACCCCGUGGAGGGCCUCUCCAUCGGCGGCCAAGAGACCUGCGUCAUCUUCCCGACGCUGAGCCUCGCCUUCGACAUCGGCCGGUGCCCGCAGCGCGCCAUCUCGCAGGAGUUCCUCUUCAUCUCCCAUGGGCAUCUCGACCACAUCGGGGGCCUCCCCAUGUACGUGGCCACGCGGGGUCUCUUCAGGCUGCGCCCGGCCACCAUCUUCGUCCCGGCGUGCCUCCGGGACCUCGUGGAGCGGCUGUUCGAGGUGCACCGCGCCAUAGACCAGUCGGAGCUCAAGCAUAACUUGGUCCCCCUCGAGGUCGGGGAGGAGUACGAAUUGAGGAGGGACAUCAAGGUCAGGGCUUUCAGGACCUACCACGCCAUACCCAGCCAGGUGUGGCGAAUUACUUGGGUUCAUUCCACUCCUUGUCCUUGGAUGCACCUGUUCCAAAUUGAUCCGUUAUAAUCCUGCAAUGCUUGGAUGGGGGUGUGUGCAGGGGUAUGUCAUAUACUCGGUGAAGCAGAAGCUCAAGCAGGAGUUCAUUGGUCUCCCAGGGAGCGAGAUUAAGCGGUUGAAGUUAUCAGGUGUGGAGGUCUGUCUGUCAUGGUGGCUGUGGAGUUCAAAUUGAAGCACCGUCUAGUAGCAUGUUGAUGUGGUAUGGGCUUAUAUGCCCCCCUCACCAUUCACCUAUUUUUAAUUUGCAGAUCACGAAUACGGUGUCCACCCCUGAGAUUGCUUUCACGGGAGAUACGACAUCAGAUUUCAUUCUUGAUCCAGACAAUGCAGAUGUGUUGGGGGCAAAAAUUCUUGUUGUCGAGGUAUUUUGUUAUUACUUGUCGCUUUACAGCUAUGCUCUCAGUUUGCAACAUGUGACAAAUUUUUUAUGUCACUAACAGCAAGUAGCAACCUUACUUAGCAAUGCGUUCCAUUUCCACUGCUGAACGUUUUAUUUUCUGAAAUCGUUCCCCUCUAUGAUAUUUUUGGUAGUGAGAUGUGCUCUAUGGAUUUCAGAGUACUUUUCUAGACGACUCCAUUUCGGUUGAGCAUGCAAGAGAAUAUGGGCACACACACUUAUUUGAGGUGUGUUAUUUGAGAUAUUCCAAAAUCGUUUAUUCAACUUCCAAAAUGUCAAAUAUUAGUAUUUACGGUGAUGUUUAUUUUUGGCAAUGCAGAUAGCAAGCCAGUCUGACAAGCUUGGAAACAAAGCUAUUCUACUCAUUCACUUUUCUGCUCGUUACACUACAGAGGUGGGCUGACAUCUAACCAUUGUGUAUUCUAUCUACUGAAAUUCUUUGGCCAGCUUCAUUUCUUUUCUGUUAUUCAACUCCAUUUUGACUGCUUCUGUUUGCCUAUUCUAUCCUAAUUCCAUUCAUAUUUAAGAUGCUUUGUUUCCACGUGGCUAUCCUUGCUUUUGUUCUAAUCAGCAUGACCUCCAAGCUUGUGUUCUAAUCAGUCGCACCAACAUGCACACCUCUUCUGUACUCUAAAGUUGUAGUUAUGAUAAAGAAGUAUAUGCUAAUUUUCUUGUUGCCUUUUCAUUUUCUCUUGAAAAUUUGGCCUAUUUGUUUUGCAUUCUUUGCGACUAAGCCAUUUGAUUCCAUUGCCCUUCUAUGAAGACUUUUUAUGAGUGAAACUAAAUCUCAUGAGAUAUGACUACUCUAUUUGCAGGAAAUUGAUGCAGCAAUAAACAGAUUGCCACCGUCUUUCCGAAGCAGAGUUUAUGCGUUGAAGGAAGGCUUCUAAAGAAACAUGAACUGACAAAUCAGCAAUGAAGUUUUCCAAAUUGGAUUCCAUUGGUAUUUUCACUGGAAAUCUUUUUGCUAUGUGUGCUCUGAUGAUACUAUAGCAAUUUUCUGAAGAUUUCUGGGAAAUCUUCUGCUUUCAGUUGUCUAUACUUGUUUCACUCACAUGAUAUUGGAAUGUUGGAAUAGUAAAAUGUGGAACAACCCAUAUUAACAAUAUUUACUUUAUUUCUUUUUGUUCAGAAUCAUUUACCUUAUUUCUGAACAUGAACAAUUAUAGUACACGAAUACCAUGUGAAUUUUGGCCAACGAAACUGGUUCAUGCUCUACACAUUCAUAUAAAUUGUACAGCUGAAAUAGAAACAAUCCCCGCUUCAUCUGAAGAUACAGGCAGUACUACUACUGUACCAACUCCACAUAAGGAAAAAAAAUAGGCAAAUUGUUUGCACACAGUGACUAGUGACAUAGCUGCAUUCCUACUGGCAUGUCCUUGCCCUUCAUGGCCCCAUUGUAAGAAACGCAAAUCAAACAUGCUUUCACUCCUCAGCAAUUCAGCAUAGUGCUUCCUGAUCUGCUCAUAAAAAUUGCAAGGUUUUCUGGUAGAGCGUGGCCUGUUGCGCAAGAAGUAGCGGUGAGAGACAGGGGGCUUCGGCUUGAAACAAGGGCGAUGGGGAGGUGCCGUGCUGUCGCACGGCGUCAACAGGGAGUCGAGGGAGAGACAGGAGAGCUGGGCAACAAUACCCUUUUGAUAUUAUUGCUUGAUUAAUCCCCUAGUACAAUUGGGUUUAUAUAUCACACCUAAAAGGAGAAUCCUUGGCCAAUAAAGGUCUAAACCAACUCUAUCUCUUUCUUAUCCUAAUCCGACUCUAACUGGGCUAAUCCCCCUCAGGUGCCUGGGGCUGCUGCUGCCGCUUGCGCCUCCUGUAGGGGAUGCCCACCAUAACAUUUUCACCCACAGGAAUCUAUGUUGUAGACAUCAACGGAGUCUCUUACUUAUCCUUGACCACCAUUUUUUUGGUGAUGUAUCUAUAAAAUGUACCAGGGUUAUGGCAUUAAUAACUGGUUUCACGGAAAAUGUACAGAUACAAUAUGGCAACGUGAGUCACCACAUAUGGUGGAUUACAUCAUUACAUGAGUCUGAUGGUGGAUUACACCGAAUUAGAAAUGGGUUAACUAUCAUAGUAGCGGCUUGAAAAUGAGCUGCCUCAUGAAAUGAACAAAUGAAUUGAAGAUGGAUGCAACAGAAUCAGCAACUCGACGAAUGGCAUGGAUCACAGAACAAGUCACCGAUCUGUCUUUACAACGCUGCUUUACCUCUGAGUUGACUUGUAAGCAAUCUGAAGUCUCUAACAAUUCAUUGAUGUCCAAACUUUUGUGAUUCUGGUGCACACAGCUUCAUCCAGAUUUGGGAAAAAUAGCUUGGGCCGAGCUAGACAGGCUGUUCUUGGGCCUCAAGUCGCCACGGGGGCCCAUGAGUUGGCACCGCCGGGGGGGCCGGCCGCCGUGAAAUCGAAGCUGUCGUCCCACGAGGCAGGCCACCACGACCAUUUCACCCCGCGCUUUGGAUCGAGUCCUGAGAAACCUGCAUGUGCCGGGUAGCGCAUCCAGGCGCUUGAUUUCAUCGGCCUGGAACCAGGAUUGCUGCCUGGUUGAGGACCGCAUCCAAACAAGCAGCGACCAAUGCGCACGGGUAGGUUGCAGCCUUGAUCACCUUCCAAGAUCACAAGGCAUGGUCUUCAGACAUACAUAGCAUCUAUAAUUCAAAUGUGUCACAUCAUAUCAACUAAUAAUCCAGCAAAGUAUCAUUUAUCUAAAAAAAUAGCUGUGUACAAACUGUAGAGAACAUGACCCUAUACAACAUUUUGGUGAUUGAGUGACAACAUAGUCAUUGGGACUAAUGGUUUGUCUUUCUAGGUUCAAGUGUGCAAACCAAACCAUGGCAAGGCCCAAAUUAUGGUAUUCAAGUAUCCAAGCUAUGGUAUUCUUGAUAUUCAAAUCAUCAUAUUCAAGUAUUCAAGCUAUGGUAUUCAAGUGACCAAGCCAUGGUACCUAGAAUUAUUCUAUGGUAUUUAAGCAUCAAUCUUGCACAUCUUGAUAGCAUGUUUUAGUUUAUAUUUGAUGCUUUGUAGUGGAAGCCAUAGAUUAAGGUUUUAAGUUUGCCUAAUUUACACUCUCCCCCUCUUAGGCUACUGAUUCCUUACAAAAACUGAAGCUGAAAUGCGGGAAAACUCGUUUCAAAACUGCUGCAAGUAGCAAGUGCUCGAGGGGCAUAGCCUCUAAGGUCAACUUUCUGCCAAAGGAUUCAAGUAAAUUACUUAACAAGUCGCAAUACAGAACUCGGAAUGUUAAUUUCUUUUCAGGAGCAAUCAAAACAUCAUAAGCAACAUGGUGUCAAGGGCAUACCUCGACGCCUCUUCGUUGAGUUGUUGUCGAGUGUCGACUACCAUCCUCGGUGCAGAGUAGGAUGCCAUUCCAAGCUUCAGUAUGGUCAUUUUUUUUUAUACCAUGUUGGACUGGAGAAAACAGAACAUGACAUUCUUAGACAACGAAUUAGUUGCUAAUGAUCUCAUGAAAAGGGGAGGAAACAUAUAAAUGGAGCAGCUUGCCUUUUUCAUAAUUACCUCCUGUAACCUGCCAGGUCAAGAAGACAAGAAGUACAGGAUUACAGGAAGAUAUCCACUUCAUACAAUAGGCAUGCUAGGACCAACAGUCUAGUUCUGUGUCUAUCCGUCUGUGCUCCUUUCCAUGUUGUUUUAGUUUAUCCGUAUAAGUUCCAAGCAUUUGUGAACACGCGUGCGUGUGACCGUAGACCCGCAUUGUGCAAUGUACUUAUUUUCAUCUUCUUGACACAAAGAUACGUAGCUUUCCUACGUAUUCUCGAAAAAAAAAUUACAUCAAAUUCUGGAACCACCGAGGGUAUAAUAUUCUCUGCAACUACAUUUUCUUCUUGGAGGCGCCACCCAAAUAUCCCGAUCCCACCCCAUCGCUAGAUCUCCAGGUAAAAACUUUAUCCCGGUUGGCAGCGGUGGUGGCGACUAUCGUCAUUUCCUUGGUGGAGGCGCUGUUUUGGAGGCUUCUUGAGUGAUGGUGCACUUCGUGCGGGUAUUGCGGUUGCCCAACUCAGAUUCUUCAACAGCUGUUGGUAUCUUACUUAUCCCUGCUGCCUAUGUUAGUGGAAGUGUGGAUGGUUUUGAUGCGGUAUUAGCUUGGUGGUCAGAGCGUCAAUCACAAUAUGGAGUUGUUUCUCUUCCCCGUUGUUGAAUUUGGCUCAUGCUUCGGUUCCACUUUCACCUGGUGGAGAAGUUGGGUCUUUUGGAGGCGACCUUACGAAACAUGCCCCGAAGGAAGAUUACUGGAAUAGUUUGUUGGAGAUUUUGAGUUUCUUCUUAGUUUUGUUAAUUUUCUUUAAUACAUCAGAUUUCUGAUGUCUUGGCACGUGUUCACUUGGAACACGUGCCUCUCACUGUUGGAGUUGUUCCAAAUUCACUCCAGGAAAUAGGCCGACCUUCCCGACCCUUUACACUCAGGGUCUGGCGAGGCGGAGGAUCUCCCGACCCCGGGACUCGAGGUCGGGCGAGGCGGAGCGUCUUCCGACCCCUGGACUUUGGGGUCGGACGAGUCGGAGCAUCUCCCGACCCCAGGACUCAGGGUCGGGCGAAUCGGAGAUCGACCCUCAAGGGGUCAGGCGCAUCCGACCCCAGGCUUGGGGACGGACGAGGCGAAGUCCCAGGCGCACCCGACUCCAGGACGAAGGACUCAAGGUCGGACGAGGAGGAGUUCCAUCCUCACACGGGACCAAGAGUUCGUACCGCACAUUACCCCCUGUCUGGGUUUCGGUACUAUAUAUACUAGCACCCUUGCUAGGGUUUCAUGCGCCAGACAGAAGAAAUAUAAGAGAGACAGAGAGAUUCUCUUGUAAGCCGCCGUAGGCGUGUAACCCCAAACUCUUGAUAUUGUGAGAUUUGUUGCCGGCUGGUGCCCGUGGUUUUUCCUCUUCGCAUUGAAGGGGUUUUCCACGUAAAUCGUGUGUCUCCUUGCGGUUUGAUUCUUUACUUCAUAUUUCCAUACGCCGUUCGUUCCUAACACUCACUAUAUUGUUUAUGGUUUGAUGCAUUCUCGUAAGAGGAUGUGCCAAGCCGGAAUAUUAUCUUCCAUUAUCUAAAAAAACAUAUUCUUCUACACUAAUGGAACAAAUUUGGUGUUAUGGAUAUGAAAUAUGAUAGCUGCGUCAAGGAUAUACGUACCAUUGUUCAUUGCUGACCACCACUGCGUACCAUUCUAAGCUUCAUAGGAGCAGGCCAGCAGGAUACCGUUGUUAAGCUUCGGAGUUGAGAAUGUUCGAAGCAUUAUAUUCUGAUCCCAAAUUCCUUAUGUAGAUCAGAGCUCUUGCUAUGCCUGAAACGGGUCGUGACUCAUGAGUUGAGUUUAUUUCAGGCAAACGGCAGUGGUUGUUUGAAGUUUGAACGGGAGGGACUGGCAGGCAGACAGGCGCAUAUAUUCAAGAUCUUGAUCAUAGCAUGGAGGAAUCUGGCGAUGGCAACUGUUCAUCAACUGACCGGAUGAUCCAGAACUCUUGCGAGCGAUAGGCGACGAGCUUCCUUCUGCUCAGGGCAGCUCCUUUUAAGCAUAAAGAUCCUGAGAGAAUAAAAAGCACACAAAAAAAAGACUAUGACUAUUCUUUUUUAAGCAUAAAGCUUGCAUCACUGGAAUGAUCAGAAAUUAUGAACUUUAAUUUGCACAAUGGAGUGUCAGGCGCACCUUGUGUCACACAUUCCUUUCACAGGUUUGCUUCAAAUUCGGUGUUGCAAUAGUAUUUCCAUUAAGAAAACCAGCAGCUGGGACUGAUCUUCAAAAUUACCAGCAGCUGCUUUAAGAAAACCGAAGGAUAUUUAUCGUUCCUGGUAAGGAAGCAGCAGGUUAAUGGGAACAAUAAUUCUUGGUAAAAUUGCAGAAGUAGUGAUUUACGAUGAUAUGCUGUUUUAAGAUAAAAAGGGCUGGAAAGUAGUGUGACACAGAACAAAAGAUAGUGAAAUUUUAUAAGAAAUUAAAUGAGUGGAUAGAAGAAAUGAAGGUUAGGUAAGAUGGUUGCGCUAUGUCUAAAGAAGAAGCAUAGCAGUGGGCUACAAUGCAAAAAGCAGCAAUCCAGAUAAUCCAAGUGGUUGCUUGAAAUGUGAAUGAAAUCAUAAAUCGAGGAUUAUAAGUAAUUUUUAUUUAAACAAACCUCCAUACUGAAGGAACCAUGAAGGAUCAUAAAUCAGAAGCACAAUGAUUUGCUGCAGAAAAGAGCCAUAGUUGAACGACUGGUCAUCAGUAUGUAGCCGGGCAAGUACAAUUAUAUUUGGCUUUGUUUCCCUUCAUUUUUCAUUUUUGGCAUGCUCCAUAAACUUCGUAGCAACAACUAGCUUUGAUUAGCCAGUGUAGUGAAUUCAGGAGGAGAUCACAUAUGCUACAUCUACAUCUACAUCUGGCCUUGUUCCUCUUAAUUUCUGGCAUUCCUCAUAAAGCUCGGCGGAGCAUUGAAAUAUGAAUAACUCUUGCAGUGAAUCAGGGAGGCCCUUCUUGGGCAGCGAUCUGAUUCUGGGAGAUCGAUGUAUAUAUAAAGUCUUGAGAGAAGAAAGCCAAUGCAGCCCUCGAGGGAUGGACAGCAGCACCCUGCAGCCAAGAAACUGCAGCCGUUGCAGGGAUGUGAGGAGCUGAAGGGCCUGCUCCUGCUCUUCCGUGAAGCUCUCCACCCGCCAAUCAUUAAGGAAGCCUAAUUCCCGGAGGGUAGCGGAGAUGCGGGUGCAGAUGGGAGCAACAAGCACUGCGGAGAUGCUGUCCACCUCAAGUGUCACCAGUUGGAAGGAACCUGCGGGCAUUGUUUUGGUCCUUGCCACCUCUGCGAGUAGAUCCGCUGCUAUAGAAUAAGGAUCAGUUUCAUCAUCUCUCGAAUUAAAAACCUCCAGACUCUCGAGGGUUGAUGUGAUGCGAGGAUUGAAACCAUCCAUUGUGAAAUUCUUACAAUCUCUUAGUCCUAGUUUGGUAAGAGAUGUCAGAUUUGAGAACAGAGCCAUAGACAGAGUGCUCGGCUCAUCCCGAAGACAGAGUUCCUCGACAUGAGGAGGGAAAGGACUGAUGCCUUGAGCUGCUUCUCCUGUGGACCACCGGGACAAUAGCAUGUUGCAAUCGUCUAUGGAAACUGAUUUGAGCGACAAGAGGCUCUGGAAUCCACCUCCAUCUUCCAUAGGUAGAAUCAGAUUUUUACACCCAUACAACCAGAUUUUUCUCAGGGAGCUGGAGGGUGGAACCUGCAAUACCACAACCUCAUCGUGAUGCUCACUUGAUGCACCCACAGACAAAUCAGAAAGAGCUGGGAAACAUUUGAACAAAUUUGAUAACGAUUUCCUGGUAACAAUAAAAUGCGAGAGGUGCAGAGAUUGGACUGAAUAGAGCACAAUGUCAUCAUCCAGUCCUCUAAGAAAUGUGUCCUCGCAGCUCCUAACCUGAAUACUUCUUAGGGGAUGUAGCUUUUGAAGGUCAGUAAAUGAGAUGAGUGAUGCAUCAGGAAUAAUCAAACGUUCUACUUCACCAACAUUGUGGAAGGCCAAUUCACUGGGCAUCUUAUAAAUGUACAAAUCUCUCUCUACAUAGCACAAGCUGUCCGUUCGGAAAGAAGAUAGCAUGCGAGUGUGAGGAAGGGGAGGCAAGGACAACUUCGGGCAUUCAAACGUCGAAAGAUUACAUAGAUUAGGGAACCAUAUGGUGUUGUCCUGUGUAGAAGAACUAAAGCACCUUGAGAACGGUAGGGCAGUGAGCUUUGGACAAUUAGAGCACCUGAUUCUUUCAAGCCUUGAGAACAAAUGUGUGUUACCUCCCCCAAUCCACUCCACAAGUUCUGGCAUAUCAUGAAGCUGAACCUCCUUCAGGUGCGUGAAACUUUUCUCUGUAAUGCCACCAAUGAAGUCAGGUCCAAACUGGCAUAUCCCAACAAUAUUUUUCAGCUUGAGUUUUCUUAGAUGAUAUAUCUGCCCAAAAGGUGGAAGAGUGGACCAGGAUACACCUUCUAGAUGGAGGGUCUCCAAGUACUUCAUGUGGAUGUUGCUACACAACCAACUAGGACCUGCGGGACCACCAUGAUUAACAAUGCAAAGAGCUCUAAGAUUAGAGUGUGGUUGAAGGUUAGUAAGAAUAUCAUCGACCUUCGACUGGUGCCCUCUACUCCAAAAUAAUCCCAGCUUAAUUAGAUCUCUUUUUGCCAUCAAUCUUGCUUCAGCAGCUUCUUUGCUGGAUCUCACAUUUUCAAGCCCACGUAUACUGAGUUCUCCUCCUAGCUGCACCAGCUGGCCCAACUCUCGUAGUUCAAAUCCAGCACUCUCUUUCUUAACAUGAAAUCCUUUCAACUCUUGUAGAAGCCUCAUUUUUCCAACCUCAGGAAUAUUGGUAUGGAAUUCUUCCCCAGCACCAAAAUGGCAUAAAUUCACAAGGCGGCUUAUGUCUUUAGGCAAAUCACACAUUCCACGCCAGUUUUGAAGGUCCAAAAAUUUCAAGUGAUAAAACCUAGAUACUAUUCUAGGACAGCACAGUUGUGAGUUAUAAUAAGGUGACUCAAGUUUUAGGUGCCGAAGGUGGAUAAGCUUUGAAAAGCUGGGUGGCAAAGAAUUUGUGGAGUUCAUGAAUAUAAACAGAACACGGAGGCCCUUUAUCUCCUUAAAUGUUUCUUUCAAAAUAUUCACCAAUCUUGCCCUUCUAUAUCCUCCAAAAAUCAUCAAACUCCGUAAAUUUCCAAUGUCUACCCUUCUCUUCAAUUUAUCCAUUUCUUCACCAAAAGUUUCAUUAUAGUCAUUGGACAUCAAGAUGGAUAGGUGGCGAAUAGAUGGUUGGACAUCAUCAGCUCUAAAACUAGAACAACUGAUAUAGGCACAUUCUUUUGAUGAAACAAUCUGUGCAAGCUCAUGCAUCAAAUCAUGCAUUACAUAAUAAUUUUGAUCUCCUUUCAUCAGAAAACCAUUAUCUAACAGUUCAUCCAAAUACUUUGAACCUAUGUCCUCAAUUUUAUCAUUCUGACCACAGGAAUCGAUGAUGCCUAUCGAAAUCCAAAAACGGCUAAUCUCUAAGCUAUCAAACUUAUAAUCCUCAGGAAAAAGGCCACAAUACGAAAAGCAUUUUUGUAGAUGGAAGGGAAGGUAGUCAUAGCUAAUUUUCAAGGCUGGCAUAAUAUCAUCAUUGUGGGUCUGGUUUAGCCAUUCUUUCUUUUGAAGAAUUCCCAUCCAAUGUUCCCGAGAGAAUCUCUUCUUCAAUAAACGACCAACCGUUUUGGCUGCCAGUGGGGAGCACUUCAAUUUAUUUGCUAUUUGUCUUGCAAUGUCAAUUAGUUCUUCCUUAUUAUCAUGCUCAGCUAUGACUUCACCAAAUACACAUGCUUGAAAGAACAACCAGAACUCAGCAGGCUCCAAACCUUCUAGGUUUACUGGAGUAGUUGUCUUCACCAUUUCUGCUAUAUAUGGAAAUCGAGUUGUCACAAUGACCAUGCUGCCUUUUUCAGCUUCCUUCAUUGUGAAAGAAGCUAAGAAAUUUACCCACCUGUCCUCACUGCAUUGCCAUAUAUCAUCUAAGACAAUUAAGAACCUUUUUGAUUUCAGUCUCUUUGCAAUGGAUUUCUGAAGCUGAUCUAAAUUGUCUGUUUCACAUUCAUUUUCACCCGCAGGUAUGCAGCUACGUAUCUCUUUGGUGAGCUUAAGCACAUCAAAGUUAGUCGACACACAUACCCAGACCCUAACAGCGAAGUGUUUUUCAGUCCUUUCGUUAUUGUAAAGGUGCUGGGUGAAAGUUGUCUUACCAAUACCACCGGGACCAACUAUAGGAAGGAUGGACAGGGUCUCAUCAGAACAAGUGCCACUUGUCAUACGAUCUACGGUUUGCUUAAAAAUUGUGCUCCUUCC